rnacentral:rRNA from 1 species
AUGGCCACGGCGCAGAGUUGCCGCGCUCCUCUUCCUCCCUCUCACGCGGAAAAGAAAAAGGAGGACACGACGAGCGCCUCUCUGUCUCUCUCUGUCGCGCGCGGAAACAGAGAUGGGAGGGGGAAGGGGCUGCCUCGCCGGUGCCGCCCUGGCUCGCCGCUCCGUCCUGGCACGCCGCGCCGGCGGUGGCUCGCGCACCGGAGCCGAGCGGGCGGGCGAGAGAGGAACGGACGAGCGAGAGAGGCGCUGGGGGCGGAAUGGCGUUAG